ACGAAUAAGGAUCGGCUAACUCCGUGCCAGCAGCCGCGGUAAUACGGAGGAUCCAAGCGUUAUCCGGAUUUACUGGGUUUAAAGGGUGCGUAGGCGGGCGCUUAAGUCAGCGGUGAAAGGCGGCGGCUCAACCGUUGAAUUGCCGUUGAAACUGGGCGCCUUGGAUUCGGUCGAGGCCGGCGGAAUGCGUGGUGUAGCGGUGAAAUGCUUAGAUAUCACGCGGAACGCCGAUUGCGAAGGCAGCUGGCCAGACCGAGAUCGACGCUGAGGCACGAAAGCGUGGGGAUCAAACAGGAUUAGAUACCCUGGUAGUCCACGCCGUAAACGAUGAUCACUGGAUGCCGGCGAUACACCGUCGGUGUCUGAGCGAAAGCAUUAAGUGAUCCACCUGGGGAGUACGAUCGCAAGGUUGAAACUCAAAGGAAUUGACGGGGGCCCGCACAAGCGGAGGAACAUGUGGUUUAAUUCGAUGAUACGCGAGGAACCUUACCUGGGCUAGAACGCCGAGCGCAUAUGGGGGAAACCCCAUAGCCAGCAAUGGCGGUCGGCGAGGUGCUGCAUGGUUGUCGUCAGCUCGUGCCGUGAGGUGUCGGGUUAAGUCCCAUAACGAGCGCAACCCCUACUGUUAGUUGCCAGCGGAUCAUGCCGGGGACUCUAACGGAACUGCCAGCGUAAGCUGUGAGGAAGGUGGGGAUGACGUCAAAUCAGCACGGCCCUUACGUCCAGGGCUACACACGUGUUACAAUGGCCGGUACAGAGGGCAGCCACCCCGCGAGGGGGCGCGAAUCCUCAAAGCCGGUCCCAGUUCGGAUCGGAGUCUGCAACCCGACUCCGUGAAGCUGGAUUCGCUAGUAAUCGCGCAUCAGCCACGGCGCGGUGAAUACGUUCCCGGGCCUUGCACACACCGCCGU
rnacentral:rRNA from 1 species